CUGCAGUCACUCUCCAUUCUUUCUUAUAGUUUGUCAUCAACUACCACAUAAAUAAACUAAAUAUUAGCCUAUCUGAACUGCUGAAUAUGUUCAAAAUAGUAGAGAGCCAUUUCAAAGGUGAAAAGGCUCCAGUUCUUCUUAUAGAUAAGAUCUUCAAGAAGAAAGACAAGAAGAAUUCUAAGAAAAAGAUAAAUCCUAAGACUAGC
rnacentral:lncRNA from 1 species